rnacentral:piRNA from 1 species
UAACUAGCCCUGCCUGUGAAAAAAGUCU